UACGGGGGGGGCAAGCGUUGUUCGGAAUUACUGGGCGUAAAGCGUGCGCAGGCGGUCUGUUAAGACCGAUGUGAAAUCCCCGGGCUUAACCUGGGAACUGCAUUGGUGACUGGCAGGCUUUGAGUGUGGCAGAGGGAGGUGGAAUUCCACGUGUAGCAGUGAAAUGCGUAGAGAUGUGGAGGAAUACCGAUGGCGAAGGCAGCCUCCUGGGCCAACACUGACGCUCAUGCACGAAAGCGUGGGGAGCAAACAGG
rnacentral:rRNA from 1 species